rnacentral:snRNA from 1 species
CUAUCUACCUGCCUCCAUCAGUUUCUCCAGGGUGAGGUUCCUCCAGUGAACUCCAGAUGUGCUGACCCCUACAUUUCCCCAAAUGUGGGAAACUUGACUACUGUAUUUGUGGUCGUGGGGGACUGCAUUGUAGCUCUCCCUGG